rnacentral:rRNA from 1 species
UACGUAGGGGGCAAGCGUUAUCCGGAUUUACUGGGUGUAAAGGGAGCGUAGACGGCAGCGCAAGUCUGGAGUGAAAUGCCGGGGCCCAACCCCGGGAGUGCAUUUGAAACUGUCUGGCUAGAGUGCAGGAGAGGUAAGUGGAAUUCCUAGUGUAGCGGUGAAAUGCAUAGAUAUUAGGAGGAACACCAGUGGCGAAGGCGGCUUACUGGACUGUAACUGACGUUGAGGCUCGAAGGCGUGGGGAGCAAACAGG